UUUUCCAAGUUUCCAAGUUAGUGUGUAAGCGUCAACCACACAAAUGCCUACUUGCUGUAGCUCCAUUAAAACGAAGCUAGGUGCAACAAAGAAGAAUUUACUAAGUUGUAGUAUACAUUUCAACGUUUUUCAAAUCCAUCACUGCACAAGUAACUGUACAUAUGUAUAUAAGCAUUCAGUAUUUCAGACGAUUUCGCGUUGACAAUUGGAUAAAACGUA